AACGAACGCUGGCGGCAUGCCUAACACAUGCAAGUCGAACGAGACCUUCGGGUCUAGUGGCGCACGGGUGCGUAACGCGUGGGAACCUGCCCUUAGGUUCGGAAUAACUCCCCGAAAGGGGUGCUAAUACCGGAUAAUGUCUUCGGACCAAAGAUUUAUCGCCUUUGGAUGGGCCCGCGUUGGAUUAGCUAGUUGGUAGGGUAAAAGCCUACCAAGGCGACGUUCCAUAGCUGGUCUGGGAGGAUGAUCCGCCACACUGGGACUGGGACCCGGCCCAGACUCCUGCGGGAGGCAGCAGGGGUGACUAUUGGACAAUGGGCGAAAGCCUGAUCCAGCAAUGCCGCGUGAGUGAUGAAGGACUUAGGGUUGUAAAGCUCUUUUACCCGGGAUGAUAAUGACAGUACCGGGCGAAUAAGCGCCGGCUAACUCCGUG
rnacentral:rRNA from 1 species